GAUGAACGCUAGCUACAGGCUUAACACAUGCAAGUCGAGGGGUAACAAGAGAAAAGCUUGCUUUUCUUGUUGACGACCGGCGCACGGGUGAGUAACGCGUAUCCAACCUGCCUAUAACAAGGGAAUAACCUUGCGAAAGUAAGACUAAUACCCUAUGAUUUCCUUUGAUGACAUCAGAUUAGGAAUAAAGAUUUAUCGGUUAUAGAUGGGGAUGCGUCUGAUUAGCUUGUUGGCGGGGUAACGGCCCACCAAGGCAACGAUCAGUAGGGGUUCUGAGAGGAAGGUCCCCCACAUUGGAACUGAGACACGGUCCUAACUCCUACGGGAGGCAGCAGUGAGGAAUAUUGGUCAAUGGGCGGAAGCCUGAACCAGCCAAGCAGCGUGCAGGAUGACGGCCCUAUGGGUUGUAAACUGCUUUUAUACAGGAAUAAAGUUAGCCACGUGUGGUUAUUUGUAGGUACUGUAUGAAUAAGGACCGGCUAAUUCCGUGCCAGCCGCCGCCGUAA
rnacentral:rRNA from 1 species